UGAUAAUGAUGAAGAAAAGGAUGCUUUGUAGU
rnacentral:piRNA from 1 species